CUUUUCUGAAUGCUGUUUCCUACAUCAGAAAAGAAGGCUGAUCUUGUAGUUAGGGCACUGAACUACAAUUCAAGAGACUGAGAUUCAUUCCCAAACUCUGUCACCAAUUUCCUGUGUGACCUUCCUGUGUGACUGGGUUCCUUCAGAGUGCUCGGACAGAAUUAGCCCAGGGAGUGAGCGGAGUUAGAAAGAGCAAAGACUGGUCUGGUAGGAAGGAGUGCUUACUAUAAGGUCCAUCUCCUUCAUUCAACUGAAUGAUACUACAAAGACAGAGAAGAGACAAACAGGAGUAACAAUUCACAAGCUCACUGAG